GGUAAGAAAAAUAAUUACACAAGUAUUCACAAGUUUGGAUCAAAGCAUUUUCGCUUAUUUCUCAAACAACCUAAAUUACGCCAAAUUGUUCCCCGGCAACAGCGCCAAUUUUGGUGACGUCCAAAUCCACCGCUAAAAAGCAAUAGAUACGGUCACAGCAAUAUAAUUACCCAACAAUGAGUCGGGGUCGAAUCCCACAAAGAACAAUGUGU
rnacentral:lncRNA from 1 species